GUUUAUAUCAGUCAUAUCUCUGCAGUAAAAACAGCCUUGAUAAAACACUUCAUACCAAGUUAUGGUUCUCUUUUCAGGAGUCUCUUAGUCUGUCCUUGGGAUUCUGAGGUAACAUCAAUCUGACAUGAUCAGGUUUAAUAGACAGCAGGGUUUGUUAGGAACUGGGGUCCAUGGAAGUUAACGUGAAAGUUUGCCAAGGCCGUCCAAAAAGCAAUUUCCCUGCUACAUGGAACCUAGGUGGCAGCCACACUGAAACCGGUUUAUUUGAAGUUUUGAAUGUGAUGAACAUGGCAAGGGUGCUCCACUGCCAUGCUGGAGAUCUCUCCCUGAGUGUGUGUGCAACAGGUGUGCAGCCUCACCCACCCCCAGAGUCCAAUCAAACUCAGCCAGGGUCGUGAUUGGACUAACAGGUAUGGUUCUGGGAGGUCCGGCCCUCACCUAUAGCCCCUCGUUUUUAUGAGCGGCCUGGGGGUUGGGACUACGAGAGGGAUUAGCCAGCAACCAUAGAAAUACUGUCAUGAAAGGAGCAUAAAUCCAAGGGCAAAGACAUGUGAAUUAAAUAAGAAAAGGAAGGAAACAGCAAUAUUAAACCAAAGUGAUGGUUUGAGAUACAAAAUGCUCUACAGAAAAAAUAGCGCGCAAACAGCUCUGUUAUGGAGGGGGUCAUUGACCCUCUAUUGAGUGUGACUGUGAAUGUGUGUCUGCGUGUUACUCUGACUUCUGGUGGAUUUAAUAAACGGUAU